UGGGGAAUUUUGGACAAUGGGCGCAAGCCUGAUCCAGCAAUGCCGCGUGCAGGAUGAAGGCCUUCGGGUUGUAAACUGCUUUUGUACGGAACGAAACGGCGAGCUCUAAUACAGUUUGCUAAUGACGGUACCGUAAGAAUAAGCACCGGCUAACUACGUGCCAGCAGCCGCGGUAAUACGUAGGGUGCAAGCGUUAAUCGGAAUUACUGGGCGUAAAGCGUGCGCAGGCGGUUAUGUAAGACAGAUGUGAAAUCCCCGGCCUUAACCUGGGAACUGCAUUUGUGACUGCAUAGCUAGAGUACGGUAGAGGGGGAUGGAAUUCCGCGUGUAGCAGUGAAAUGCGUAGAUAUGCGGAGGAACACCGAUGGCGAAGGCAAUCCCCUGGACCUGUACUGACGCUCAUGCACGAAAGCGUGGGGAGCAAACA
rnacentral:rRNA from 1 species